rnacentral:lncRNA from 1 species
UUUGGUCCUUUUUUGGCUCGUAAUUCCUAAACUGUUGGGACCUCAACUCCAAAAAUAAAUCCCAACCUUCCUUUUGUGGUCAUAAACCUUGUGUUUAAAUUUCAUUGAUUUCUAUUUACUUAUACUAAAGUUAUUGUGCGAAAACCAAGAAUAAUGCUUAUUUGGGCCCUUUUUUGGCCCGUAAUUCCUAAACUAUUGGGACCUCAACUCCAAAAAUCAAUCCCAACCUUCCUUUUGUGGUCAUAAACCUUGUGUUUAAAUUUUAUUGAUUUCUAUUUACUUA